UUAAGGAGAUUUUACUCAGCUUUUAAGAAAGCAAUAACAGAGGUAGCUACAUAGAGCACACCCCACAGCGUUGAACUGGGAUAACCAGUUAACCAGGGAAGCUCCACACAUGACACCCAUGACCAUCAAAAAAAAAAACAGACCCUCCACUAAGAACUGAGACUUCAAAUCACCAGCUUAAUAUCUAUGACCUGACAAAGUUCAACUAACAAAGUUCUGAAAUCAGUCGCCAGAUCGCAGCUAGUACACACCAUAAAUCUUCACGUAAAGCAUCACUGAUAAAACUAACCUAACAGAUCCAAAAACAGGCCAAUCACUAAAAGAAAAAACCUCAUACGGCAUCCAUUACAGCGACAGCUUCCACGACUGGGACAAAAUUUUGCAUCCACGGCUUCCAGGAUCAAAGCAGUUUUUUCGAUGUAAUUUAACAGUAUUCAGACCAAACAGAAAAGAAAGGGUAUUUUCCACUUCAAAUCACUCCACCCCUCCGCUCCGCCCCAGACCUCGCUACAAACCUGCCGCGAAAAUAGCAGCCGCCCGUUUGCUCUCUCCCGUCUCCGCACUCCUCCCGCGAUGAGCGACCCGCGGGGCCGCGCCGCCGGUCCCGACCGCUACGGGGACGAACCGCACGACCUCCCGCUCGCCGAGGACGCAAACGGCGAGGAAGCGUGGCAGACGCCCGAGAAAGAGGCGGUUGCCGUGUCGGAAGGGGCCGCUGCGCGGAGUGGGGAUACGACCCCGGACGCUGAACAGGAGAGCGAUGACGGAGAGGAAGGAGUGGGCUCCCCGGAUCAGGCGGAACCCAAUGCGAGCGGGGAGGGCGUACCGCCCGUGGCCGCGACUGUGGAGCCGGAUGGGAUUGUUAGCGGCGCAAAGGUGGAGACGAACAGCGAGGACGCCAUCAGCCAUGACGCCGACGAGGAGGAGAAGGACGACGACGAUGACUCCACCCAGGAUGCGUCUCCGAUAGCCGAGGUGAAUGUGGAGGGCGAGAGUGGCGCCGUUCACCGCUUGGAGGUGGAACCGGACCCCUUUCUCGAUGGAGAUGCCUCUGGGACGGAGGAGGAGCAAGCCGCGUUCAUGGUGGAGCUGGAGCGCUUCCAUAAGGAGCACAGUCUCGAGUUCAAGCCGCCCAAGUUCUAUGGCAAGGGCCUCAACUGCCUCAAGUUAUGGAGGCAGGUCGCCCACCUGGGAGGCCACGAGCAGGUAACGGUUUGUAAACUAUGGCGUCAAGUUGGAGAGACUUUCAGGCCGCCAAAGACCUGCACGACUGUUUCUUGGUCAUUUCGAAUUUUCUAUGAGAAGGCACUUCUUGAAUACGAAAAACACAAAGUCCGGACUGGUCAGCUUCAGAUACCACCGCCUGGUUUACCACAGCCUAGUGGUGCUGACCGUGAGGUAGUUGUAAAUCAAUCAUCUUCUGCCAGAGUUAGAAGGGAUGUUGCAGCACGUGCUAUGCAGGGUUGGCAUGCUCACCGCCUCCUUGCCAAUGGCACUUAUGGGGAUAACAUUUUGAAGGACAAAGAUUCAAUGCCAUCUUCAAGUCGUGAUAACCUAAAAAGCUUUGGGGUGCUCAAGAGAAAGAAAGCAUCUAGUCCAGAGUAUGCUCUCAAGUCGUCCUGCUCAAAAAUAAAUAAGUCUGAGGAAGAUUCUAUGGUCAUUGACGUUGGAGAACCAGCCGACUGGGUGAAGAUCAAUGUGCGGCAGACUAAAGAUUGCUUUGAAGUCUAUGCACUAGUUCCUGGACUUCUACGUGAGGAGGUGCAUGUUCAAUCAGAUCCUGCUGGACGUCUGGUUAUCACAGGGGAUCCAGAGCAGCCUGAUAAUCCUUGGGAGAUCACUCCGUUCAAGAAGGUGGUCAACUUGCCAUCAAGAAUCAAUCCUCACCAAACAUCCGCUGUUGUCACGCUUCAUGGUCAGCUGUUUGUGCGUGCACCAUUUGGGUCAUCCUGAUAUGUAGAUAUGAAAUCAUUUUUAGUUCAGUUUUGUUGACUGUGGCGCCUCUUCACCGGUGAUAUUCCUUGAUAUCACUAGGGUUUAUGUCAGUUCUGUUGAGGAAAUAGGAUUUCAUUUGAGCAGAUACAUGAUGUCAAGCUGACUUAGCAGAACUCUUCUGUAGUUGGAUGCUGGUUGCUGGUGUUGCGAUCUGUUGCCACCUUGUUUAUUGUUACAGUAGUAGCCAUAAAAUUAGUUGGUUCAUGUGUGUAUUCCAGUUUCAUAGAGAAAGGACAUGUUGGUCGUAGUAGGGCUAAUUUGACAUUAUGGUUACUAAUUAUUCUUUAAAUACCUCUCUGGAUCA